UACGGAGGGUGCGAGCGUUGUCCGGAAUCAUUGGGCGUAAAGGGCGCGUAGGUGGCCCGGUCAGUUCGUGGUGAAAGCGCGGGGCUCAACCCUGCGUCGGCCAUGAAUACUGCCGCGGCUGGAGCACUGUAGAGGCAGGCGGAAUUCCGGGUGAGCGGUGGAAUGGCGUAGAGAUCCGGAAGAACACCGGUGGCGCAAGGCGG
rnacentral:rRNA from 1 species